AUUAGGGAUGUGGAACAGGGUAGGAGAAACAGCCCUGGAUUUAAGGUAAAAUUCUGGUUUCAAAUCUCAGUUCUGUCAUAUGUUAUACAAUUCACAUGACAUUUUCUUGUGUAAGGGAGGAACAAGGAUGCUUGCUCUGCUUCAUAUCUCACUUUGUGAAAAUCAAAUGUAAUUAUGAACAUAAAAGGUAGAUUAUUAACAUUAAGGCAGUUGAAUUUUAAAAGCUUGUUUUCUUCCCUUAUACAUAUUCCUAACCGUGGAGACAGCUAGGUUCUGUGGCAAUGAAGAAAAUUGAUCAAUGACUGUUUUUGGUAUUACUUUGGGAAGUAGGGAUGGAAUAGGGGCAAGGGAAGGGCUUAGCUUCAAACUGUAGACAGAAGUGGGAAGCCCAAAUCUUUGCAUGGUGAGAAGUGGGAUGGAAUGUAGGUGCUAGAGAUGGUGCACCAGUAGGGACUGUCACUGGAUUGGGGAAAAAAAUCCGGGGCUGUCCUUAUCUGCUCCCUUAGGCAAAAUCGUUCUGUGUUAGUCUGGAGGGUGAACCUAUUUUAAUGCAGGAGGGCAUAGACUUUUGGGUGGAAGCGGACCCUGGAGAUGUACUGGCAGGUGAAUAGAGUGUGGAAAAGUGGGGAAAGGAGAAGCACGAUUCAUGAGCCUGAGUUCGGGCUUCCAUGGAUGGAAAAGCAUCAGGAGUGGAAUUUAAAGACGGUGUGUUUCAGGUGAUGUGAGGUCCUGGAUGCCCGAAGCUUCAAGAAAAUACUGGUUGGGCACUUAGCUUUCCCUGUGGUUGCCAAUCCCACGCAGGCCGCCUCUAGCGUCUCGAUUCGCUUUUCUCUGACCUGGAACCUCCGCCAAGCCCCCAGCUCUCUUCUUCGACCCAGCCUUGCACGGGGCAGCUGUCGGGGCAGGACCCGCCUCUGGCCUGUCGCAGCCUAGCUCACGGUCAAGGGCGGGAGCCUGCUGGGAAGCACGGCCGCGGGGGCUCGCUCGGGGCCACCUGCCUGGAACUCAGCGCGAGGUCCAGAGUUCCCUCCGGCUGCGCAGCGGCGCACGUGCCCCGUGGAAGGGGCGGUUCCCGCACCCCAGAAGGAGGGGGCGCCCGGCCGCGCGGACUUUCCCUUUUGCUUACUUCCUAGUCCCGGGCAGGCCGGCUCGGAGGCAGCGAGAAAGCGCAGCCAGGCGGCUGCUCGGCGUUCUCUCAGGUGACUGCUCGGAGUUCUCCCAGUGUUUGGUGUUGCAAGCAGGAUCCAAAGGAGACCUAUAGUGACUCCCAGGAGCUCUUAGUGACCAAGUGAAGGUACCUGUGGGGCUCAUUGUGCCCAUUGCUCUUUCACUGCUUUCAACUGGUAGUUGUGGUAAGGGCAAGUCUGCUUUUUCCCAACGAUACACCAACCUCGGAUGCAGAAUUCAUGAAAGCUGAAGCAUCUUGUUAGGGAGGCUUCUAGAUAUGAAAAGGCAAUGUCUGGUUCAUGAUGGCAUGGAAUGGUCCCAUCUUCAGGGUCUAGUGGUGGAGUCAUGACUUGAUGAGGCACAUCGCUUUUUUCGGGAGGUUCUGUAAGGGACCUGACAAUGACAGUGAGCCUGGAGUCACAGCUGCCUUCGCUUUAUGACCCUGAGGAAUUUACUUAGCUUCUUGGCCUUCUUGCCUCACUUGAUUCUGGUGUCUUGCUGCCUGUGGCUGUAUCUUCUUCUAAAGACUGAAGCUGAGAAGAAGGCUUGGUUUCCUCCCUUGGCUGCCCCCAAGACUACUGUUGCCACAGGGUGCUUCUUUCUUCCCUUUCUAUUGGUUUUCCCCAGAGAAGACUACGUGUGGAUAUCUACUAUAAAACAUGUGUGCAUGGAAAAUUGUAGGGCCAGAUGCUUCUGGAUUAAGAGAACAUGACCAGAUCUGGAGAAGGAGCAGCUGGGAGGAGGAGCCUGACUUUCUUAGCAAAACCAGUUCCUUUGCUUUCCCAUGUGGUUGGCCUCAGCCUUGUCUUUUAAGUUAAGUGAUGGGGCUAAAAAAAGUAAUGAGCCCCAGGAAGACCUGGGGUCCAGUCCCUGAUCUGCCACUUCAUUGCCUCACAACCUUGGGGAAGUCAUUUAUCCUCUCUGAGCCUCAGUUUCCUCAUUUGCAAAUUUCAAAUAACCAUCCUUCUGUAACUGACAAGGUUGUUGUAAGACUAUAAAGCACAUGUUAUUUUAUUUGUGUCUAUAUAAGGAAUAAUUAUUAUUGAGCUGCAUCAUAUGAAACUUCAAUUUUUGAAAGUCAAAAACAGUCAAACGUUGGUAAUUUUAAAUCAUUUGCUACUAUUUCAAGUAAAAGGAAACCCUGCAGAUGGUGCUUAUGCCAGAGGAGAGAAUAUUAUCCAGGGGGCAAUGGAAAGCUUCUGAAUGAGUUGUAUAAAUUGUUACAGGACUAUAAUAGAGAGAAAGAAUAGGCUUAAGUAUUAUCUUAGACAUGCACAGACAUUCCCAUGAUGGCUGAAUGUUCCCAUUUUAGCUGGAUGCUUAGUUUUGCACAAUUGUAGAGAAAAUCAACAAAAUAGUUUGUCAUCUCUUUUAACGUUCUGGGGUAGCCUCGAUGAAAACCUAGAGCAGUCGUUCUUGACCUUGUCUGUAAGUUAGGAAACACUGGGAAGCUUUAAAAAAAUCUUAACCCCCCAUAUCCAGAUCAAUUAGAUGACCAUUUCUGGGUGUUGGGGGCUGAAUUUCACCCUCUCAAAAUUCAUACACUGAUGUCCUAAUCCCCUGUACUUCAACAUGCCAACCAAAACCUGCCAGCACCUUAAUCUUGGACUUUCAGCCUCCAGAACUGUGAGAAAAUAAAUUUCUGAUUUUUAAGCCA
rnacentral:lncRNA from 1 species